CGCAGCCGCGGUAAUUCCAGCUCCAAUAGCGUAUAUUAAAGUUGUUGCAGUUAAAAAGCUCGUAGUUGAAUUUCGGGAUCAAUAUUUCGGUCAUGCCGUUGGUAUGCACUGUUAUCAUUGAUUUCUCACCUUCUAAAGAACCGUAAUGCCAUUAAUUUGGUGUUACGGGGAAUUAGGACUGUUACCUUGAAAAAUUAGAGUGUUUAAAGCAGGCUCACGCUUGAAUACAUUAGCAUGGAAUAAUGAAAUAGGACGUUUGAUUCUAUUUUGUUGGUUUCUAGGAUCGACGUAAUGAUUAAUAGGGAUAGUUGGGGGCAUUAGUAUUCAAUUGUCAGAGGUGAAAUUCUUGGAUUUAUUGAAGACUAACUACUGCGAAAGCAUUUGCCAAGGAUGUUUUCAUUAAUCAAGAACGAAAGUUAGGGGAUCGAAGACGAUCAGAUACCGUCGUAGUCUUAACCAUAAACUAUGCCGACUAGGAUCGGAUGAUGUUAAUUUUUAAUGUACUCAUUCGGCGCCU
rnacentral:rRNA from 1 species